AAGUUAUUUGUUAAUUCAAACAACAUCUGAAAUUUUUGAUCUUUUGUGUCAGUUUAAACUAACAAUAUUAUAAAGCAGAUUCCUGCAUCUCAAAAUGUCAAGAUUAUUGUAACAGAAAUCCUUUUUUUUACAAAGAGUAGGAAAAUUAAUUCAGUUGCUACAUCUUAAAUAAUUAAUCAUGUCUUCUGUUCUUUGCUGGAUAACUUCAGGAGGAAGAUUGGUCCUGAAUACCAUGUUGGCUGGCCUUGACUUGGACACCUAAUUUUCUGACAUCUAAACUUGGUCUAAGAGUGAAAGCAAACAAACUAAUGGGUUAAAAUAGAAGGGGACAGUACAGCAGCCUUUCUCAGCAUCCCUUUGGCACUUCUGAUUCUUCUUGUAUCUGAGGCAAUAAAAGCAGCCCAGCACUGGUUGACAGUCCUUUGUUCCCCCCUACAAGAAGGCCAAGCCCAAAAUUCUGAACAAGCAAUUCAGUUAACUGCUGUUAAGAAGUACCUAAGUUGGUGUUGCUCAGGCAGGAGCUCUCCUGCCUUACCCUCUCG
rnacentral:lncRNA from 1 species